rnacentral:lncRNA from 1 species
CAAAGGCUCACCAACCACAACCUUACAACGUUGGUUUUCCCUUUGGCUCACCAACAAACCUUAACCCCUUGAUUCAAUCCCUUGAUUGAAUCAAUUUACAAGAUAUUAGAACAAGAGUUUAAAUCAAAUACAAGCUUCUCAAAUAAGCAAAUAUAGCAAAUAUAAACAAGUAAAUUAAAGAGAAGAAGCCCUCAAACAAAUUUGUAGAUGAAGGAACUCGGCUUCUUCUUUACUUGACCCUCUUCUGAUUUUGCACGAAGUAGAGGAUCACCG